UUUAAAGCUGAGAAAGAGAAAAAGAUAUGUAUCUUUAUCCAAGAGAGUCGGGGUUGGUGAGAGCCGAUAUAAAGUAAGUAUGUAAUAUUCACUCUUGAGCUUAAUGGUAGAAAUUUUAAGUAGACUGUUACGGCGGCCACCGUUAUCUAAGGCAAGGCGUUUAUUGACGCUAGUGAGGUAAUCUAUACAUAAAGUUAGAUUAUAAAAUUAGGUGGUACCACGAUGCUUCGUCCUAUGU
rnacentral:ncRNA from 1 species